rnacentral:rRNA from 1 species
GUUGGGUUGGAUGAGUGGCGAACGGGUGAGUAACACGUGAGUAACCUGCCCUCUUCUUUGGGAUAACGCCCGGAAACGGGUGCUAAUACUGGAUAUUCACUGGCCUUCGCAUGGGGGUUGGUGGAAAGGUUUGUUCUGGUGGGGGAUGGGCUCGCGGCCUAUCAGCUUGUUGGUGGGGUGAUGGCCUACCAAGGCUUUGACGGGUAGCCGGCCUGAGAGGGUGACCGGUCACAUUGGGACUGAGAUACGGCCCAGACUCCUACGGGAGGCAGCAGUGGGGAAUAUUGCACAAUGGGCGAAAGCCUGAUGCAGCGACGCCGCGUGAGGGAUGGAGGCCUUCGGGUUGUAAACCUCUUUCGCUCAUGGUCAAGCCGCAACUGUGGGUUGUGGUGAGGGUAGUGGGUAAAGAAGCGCCGGCUAACUACGUGCCAGCAGCCGCGGUAAUACGUAGGGCGCGAGCGUUGUCCGGAAUUAUUGGGCGUAAAGGGCUUGUAGGCGGUUGGUCGCGUCUGCCGUGAAAUCCUCUGGCUUAACUGGGGGCGUGCGGUGGGUACGGGCUGACUUGAGUGCGGUAGGGGAGACUGGAACUCCUGGUGUAGCGGUGGAAUGCGCAGAUAUCAGGAAGAACACCGGUGGCGAAGGCG